rnacentral:sRNA from 1 species
GCUGGGCAUGGUGGUGCAUGCCUGUAGUCCCAGCUACUCGGGAGGCUGAGUCAGGAGAAUUGCUUGAACCCAGGGGGUGGAGACUGCAGUGAGCCGAGAUUGUGCCAGUGCACUCCAUCCUGGGCAGCUAAGCGAGACUCUGUCUCAAACAAAAGAAAAUUGUGAAUUGGGCACAGUGGCUCAUGCCAGUAAUCUCAGCACUUUGGGAGGCUGAGGCAGGUGGAUUGCUCGAGCCCAAGAGUUUGAGACCAGCUUGGGCAACAUAUCAAGACCCUGUCUCU